rnacentral:rRNA from 1 species
GACGAACGCUGGCGGCGUGCCUAAUACAUGCAAGUCGAGCGGACGUUUUUGAAGCUUGCUUCAAAAACGUUAGCGGCGGACGGGUGAGUAACACGUGGGCAACCUACCUUAUCGACUGGGAUAACUCCGGGAAACCGGGGCUAAUACCGGAUAACAUCUAGCACCUCCUGGUGCCGGAUUAAAAGAGGGCUUCUUGCUCUCACGAUGAGAUGGGCCCGCGGCGCAUUAGCUAGUUGGAGAGGUAACGGCUCCCCAAGGCGACGAUGCGUAGCCGACCUGAGAGGGUGAUCGGCCACACUGGGACUGAGACACGGCCCAGACUCCUACGGGAGGCAGCAGUAGGGAAUCUUCCGCAAUGGACGAAAGUCUGACGGAGCAACGCCGCGUGAGUGAUGAAGGGUUUCGGCUCGUAAAGCUCUGUUAUGAGGGAAGAACACGUACCGUUCGAAUAGGGCGGUACCUUGACGGUACCUCAUCAGAAAGCCACGGCUAACUACGUGCCAGCCGCCGCCGUAAU